ACAGAAAAAGGAAUGUGUAGAGAGUCCAACUUUGACCCCUCCCAUUAAACUACAGCAGGUAACUUCGCCAGCUUUAGCACGCCCAGUAAAUACACUUUAUUGUCCCUGUAAAAUGUAUACGUUUUCACGCAUGACAAGUUUUAUAACAUGUUGGCAUGAGCUUUAAUACCUAUUUUAUAUUUCCAUCGUUUCUUCUGGAAAAUAAUGUAUAGAUAAUGCAUUUGGGUUAUGUUCUUCUUUGAGAAGGAUGCAGAAUUCCAUUCAAUUUUGUUAUCUCUCUCUCUCUCGCUCUCUCUCUCUUUGUGUGUGUGUUUGUUCUAUGUAACACACUACCCAGUCACCCUCCAGAAUGAAGCCGAGGGCGGAAGAGGGGGAAGUUAGUUGUGACAGAGGAUGAGGGGGGAGAUGCUAGAAGGCAGAGAUCAAGGCUAGAAGACUUGUCACACCCACCAACCUUGGCCCUGGGACGAUGACGUCGUUUUAAUGUGGUGAUCGUGAUUGAUCCUGAGAGACGACGAGAGAGAGGAUACUAUUCAUCCGGCGGUUGGUUCAGUUGAGCUGAUCCCGUUGGGCGCUUGGCUAUUAGGAAGGAAAAUGGCGGGUCUGUCACAGACGAAUGCAAUGAGACGGCCUAAAGAAUGACAUUUCGUAAGAGCAAAUGCAUGGCAGGUGAUUCAAUAAGGUUGAAAAUUAACUAACCUAACGAAUAGCGAAAUCUUUGAUGACUCUUUUCGAAGUGAUAGUAGCUAAUGGUUAUUUGAAUGGAUUGUAUUGCAUUUUAGGCACCGCUGAAAUAAUUAGAAUGUAUGUGUUAUUGUUAUGUGUUUUGUGAGAACUGAAGGCCUGUUUCAUUUCUCUGAUGUUUUUAACAUUCCUUUAUCUUAUCCAUACAUGUUUUCAGUUGGGAAGGAUAAAUAAACUGUCUAAAUUACGUGUCGUUGUAAUUAAAGGUAGAUUUCUUGAAA